rnacentral:rRNA from 1 species
GACGAACGCUGGCGGCGUGCCUAAUACAUGCAAGUUGAGCGCUGAAGGCUGGUACUUGUACCAACUGGAUGAGCAGCGAACGGGUGAGUAACGCGUGGGGAAUCUGCCUUUGAGCGGGGGACAACAUUUGGAAACGAAUGCUAAUACCGCAUAAAAACUUUAAACACAAGUUUUAAGUUUGAAAGAUGCAAUUGCAUCACUCAAAGAUGAUCCCGCGUUGUAUUAGCUAGUUGGUGAGGUAAAGGCUCACCAAGGCGAUGAUACAUAGCCGACCUGAGAGGGUGAUCGGCCACAUUGGGACUGAGACACGGCCCAAACUCCUACGGGAGGCAGCAGUAGGGAAUCUUCGGCAAUGGACGAAAGUCUGACCGAGCAACGCCGCGUGAGUGAAGAAGGGUUUCGGAUCGUAAAACUCUGUUGGUAGAGAAGAACGUUGGUGAGAGUGGAAAGCUCAUCAAGUGACGGUAACUACCCAGAAAGGGACGGCUAACUACGUG